GCAACAACAAUCCCGCGGUACGGGGAGCGUCCUGCCACGUAGUGGGCGUUAUUCGGAUUAGGUUAGAGCCGAGCGUGGCUCCCCAAGCAGCUGCUGGUUUAUAGAAUAUCCGGCCUUACAGGCUUCAUCAGGAUGAGUUCCACGUACUUGACACGGAAUGCCAUCCUGAAGGGAGUGUCAGCCGUCUAUUUGAUGGGCUUUGUGUCCCUCUACAUACAGAUUCCUGGUCUGUACGGCGUGUCCGGGCUGCUGCCGGCGCACCUCGAGC
rnacentral:lncRNA from 1 species